rnacentral:lncRNA from 1 species
GGUGCGCUUCGUCUCGAGCCACAAACGGAACACAGUUCAGGAGUCGAGCAAACUCCCGAAUGUACUCCUGAACUGUCCACUCCCCCUGUUGAAUCCUCUUCAGAUCCUCCUCGAGCUUCUGUUUCACGCUGUUGGGAAAGUACAUCUCGAACAGCAUUCCACAGAACUCGUCCCACUUCAUCUGCAGCGGCACCAAUCCAUAAUCUCGCCUCACCCUCCUUCACCAGGCGUGAGCGUCGCCUGCAAAACAGUGAACUCCCAGGUGUACCUGCUCUCUCUCUAAAAUAAAUAAAUCCUCGAAUAGCUUCUCCAACGCACUGACCCAGCCCUCAACAACCCAGGCCUCAGUGCAACUACCAUCGAAGGUCGGCAGAUCAAAACGACGGAAACGAGCCAGUCUCUCUAUCAUCCGCUCCUGCUCGGCCUCAGUCAUUUAUACCGGCCCUCUAGGAUGCGCAACUGGCGCUGCGG